UUGGGAAUCAUUGUGUUGCCAGUGAUGGAUUAUGUCGCGUGUUUUGUAAUACACGCAGUACUGUAAAGUGAAACGAGGUCAUUCUGUUGUGUACUUUGGACAAAGGAAGAGAAAGAUGAAGUCCCUUAGAAAAGGAAAAUGAGACUGAUGGGAUUUCGUUUUAAAGGAAGAAGAGUCUGAAGCUAACGUGUAUACCUACGAGAGUUCUGACGAAUCACCAAAGAAAAAAAUUAACUCAAAGUUCUGGUGGCCUGGGUGCAGUGAAUUCGAAAUAUCAACAGCGAUCCUCAAAUACAGAAUUUGAAAGAAAAAGACUUUAUUAUCUAUGAGUACCCAAAUAAUCUUUAAGCAAUCCAUGGAUAUUGAAUGCAGACCAGACAGUCAGGAGAAUUUACCGUAAAUAGAAAAUUAGCAAAAGUGAAAGCAACAAACGUUUGUUUCGAUUGGUGUGAUAUAUUUUGGACAGGAGUAGCAGACUGUGGUGCGUUGAUUCCAAAAUGACACAUAUUAGUACAAAGAUUCAUUGCAAUUAAGAAAAUUUCUGAUUUUGUGUAUUUUCAACUUUUUAUUUCUUUAUAAACUUUA